UAAAAGGCUUGACUUCAAGCCACACAAUAAAGACAAGACAAUAAUAU
rfam:Strongylocentrotus purpuratus Contig24403_fixed, whole genome shotgun sequence.